GACGAACGCUGGCGGCAUGCCUAAUACAUGCAAGUCGAGCGAACAGAUGAAGUGCUUGCACUUCUGACGUUAGCGGCGAACGGGUGAGUAACACGUAAGGAAUCUACCUAUAAGCGGGGGAUAACAUUCGGAAACGGGUGCUAAUACCGCAUAAUAUCUUCGUCCGCAUGGAAGAAGACUGAAAGACGGCUCUGCUGUCACUUAUAGAUGACCUUGCGGUGCAUUAGUUAGUUGGUGGGGUAACGGCCUACCAAGACGAUGAUGCAUAGCCGACCUGAGAGGGUGAUCGGCCACAUUGGGACUGAGACACGGCCCAAACUCCUACGGGAGGCAGCAGUAGGGAAUCUUCCGCAAUGGGCGAAAGCCUGACGGAGCAAUGCCGCGUGAGUGAAGAAGGCCUUCGGGUCGUAAAACUCUGUUAUAAGAGAAGAACAAAUUGUAGAGUAACUGCUACAGUCUUGACGGUAUCUUAUCAGAAAGCCACGGCUAACUACGUGCCAGCCGCCGCGGUAA
rnacentral:rRNA from 1 species